UUCGUUGUGUUGGGUGUUGGCACACAAUUCUCAAAGCGCAAGGCAUGAAGACGAUUAGACGAACUCAUUUAUUCUCGAUCUCGAGCAUGGUAAUUAGCAACAGUGCAGCUACGGAGAACAGAAUACACUGCAUGCCACACAGAUUGACACUAGCUGCUUGUAUUGCCAUUUCACUAGGCCGGUGGCGGUGGCAGCUGCGAUCCGCAGGCGUAUGAGCACCAGCACACGUCGCGGAGGCACACUCCAUUGCCCUUGAGCUUGGUGAAGCAGUCAUCGUGGCAUGCCUUGCGGUUGCAGCCGCUACCGGCGAAGACCUUCAAACACGUGUGCUUCGUCGGCGGGGAUGCCUCUGAGCUCAGUGCCGGCGUCGGCGCUGGCAUCGGUGCUGUGCAGAUCCCUGUCGGGAGAAAUGGAGAUCAAAUCACUAAAGUAUUGCUGUGAACUGCACUGACGCUAUAGCUGUGAAGUUGAAAACCAAUGGUCUUGCUUAUGGAUAGUUACCUGUUGACAGCAUGAUGGCAAUGAUGAGGAGCAGCGCUCCAUGGUAGGUUCCCAUGGUCAUGGCCGGUGUGGUAAGCCUAGUUAGGGAGUAGUACUGAUGAAAUGCCUAUGGUUCUGAUCGAUUGAGGUGGGGGCAGUUUUAUAGUGGAAAAUUC
rnacentral:lncRNA from 1 species